CCUACGGGCGACUGCAGUGAGGAAUAUUGGUCAAUGGACGAGAGUCUGAACCAGCCAAGUAGCGUGAAGGAUGACUGCCCUAUGGGUUGUAAACUUCUUUUAUAUGGGAAUAAAAUGUUCCACGUGUGGGAUUUUGUAUGUACCAUAUGAAUAAGGAUCGGCAAACUCCGUGCCAGCAGCCGCGGUAAUACGGAGGAUCCGAGCGUUAUCCGGAUUUAUUGGGUUUAAAGGGAGCGUAGGUGGAUUGUUAAGUCAGUUGUGAAAGUUUGUGGCUCAACCGUAAAAUUGCAGUUGAAACUGGCAGUCUUGAGUACAGUAGAGGUGGGCGGAAUUCGUGGUGUAGCGGUGAAAUGCUUAGAUAUCACGAAGAACUCCGAUUGCGAAGGCAGUUCACUGGACUGCAACUGACACUGAGGCUCGAAAGUGUGGGUAUCAAACAGGAUUAGAUACCCUGGUAGUC
rnacentral:rRNA from 1 species